GAAAUAAUGAAUCAAAGUAUAAGCUUCUAACUUAAACCUUAAGCGUUGAAAUACGUUUUUAUUUCU
rnacentral:tRNA from 1 species